UCAAAUGCUUUAAAAAUCAGUUUAUAGUUCUUAACUGCCAAUGAUGUAUCACAUAUAUUUUUUUUUUUAAAAAAAAGGAAAAUAUAUAAAGAAACGAAAAAAAUGGAAUUUUAAAUUACAAAAAAAUAUUAUUUGGAAAAUUAUCUAUUAAGUUAUAUAACAAUAAGACACGUUUUUCAUUACGUUGAUUUAUGGAUAUUUUCAAUUCUCAAAUAUUGGUAACAUUAUGGAUUUUCCGAAUUUGUCAAGGUGUUAAGACACUUUAGAUUCAUAAUAAAAGAAAGUAAAUUUUGCAUUGUGAGGAUCAGAAUCCCUAUGCGCAUAGGGAUUUUGAUUCACACAAUGCAAAAUUUGUUUUCUUUUAUUUGAUAUUCAACGAACGCAGAGAAAUUCGAUUUAAAAUUUUGGACUUCAUUAUAGUAGUAAUUUAGAUCUUAUUUCUAAAUUAGUCUACUUUUGCCUCUUCAUGACAAGAAAUUCAGAAAUAAAUAUGUUAAAAACAG